rnacentral:lncRNA from 1 species
GCCCUGGCCCCUUGGCCUCGCUGCAUGAGAAGACAGCUGCUUCCUCCUCUACCCCGUAAUUAUUCUUUUACAACUGAGUGCCUUAAUAAUCGUUUACAAAUACUGUGUAUUUAUGCGCAGCCGUUCAGCUCUCAUCUUUCGUGGCUGGGUACUUCGGUCCCGGUGGUUAAGAUUAGCACCUGAGCUCGUCCCUACCCCCCAUCCACGUGUGUCACUCUGCUAUGCAGUUGACAUCCUGGGUCCUGACUACUCCACCCAGCCUGCUGAAUCCCCACAGGCUAUGCGGACAUCGGCAAACCCCGAAAACCUGAGGUAGGUAGUGAAGGACGAGAUUUGGUUUGCCAGGCAGCCGAGAGGUGGUGCAGGCCCAGCGUUCCCUGAACCACAGCCCAAGACCACACCACCUGAACCUCUCAAGGUCGCCCUCUAGUUUACAGAGGCUUGCCAACGCCUACCCUCCACCCCUUCACACUCCCUCCUCUUCUGCCUGUGUCCUGAGCUCCUUGCUACAUGGGUACAGCUCACUCCAGAGGAGGAGUGGCACCAGACCGCAUCCUUCACCUUUCAAACGCCCGCAGCCACCACCGUGCCGGAUUCCUUCGUCACAUUACAACUUCGAUGGUUUUUUUUUUUAUUGUAUUGUUUUUCUUGUUUUUUAUAUUAUAUAUUUAAGAGGCAGUAUCUUUUGUACUGUGAAUUUUCAGUAGAAGAGGCAUAGUGCACUUUUUUUUUUUUACUUCUGUUGGUGUGUACUGUACAUAAUAGUCUGCGUGCUUCUCGUGAUGAGAAUAAACACUUCCUUUAUACAUGU